CCAUAGGCUUUCCUUGAAGCCACAAUGCAAUAGAAUAAUGGGAAAU
rfam:Ailuropoda melanoleuca scaffold2393_11, whole genome shotgun sequence.